rnacentral:tRNA from 1 species
UAGAAAUUUAGGAUAGCGCCUUAAACCAGGGGCCUUCAAAGCCCCAAACAAGAGAACACCUCUUAAUUUUUGAA